AAUGAAGAACGUAGCGAAAUGCGAUAAGUAAUGUGAAUUGCAGAAUUCAGUGAAUCAUCGAAUCUUUGAACGCACAUUGCGCCCCCUGGUAUUCCGGGGGGCAUGCCUGUUCGAGCGUCAUUUCACCACUCAAGCCUCGCUUGGUAUUGGGCAACGCGCUCCGCCGCGUGCCUCAAAUCGACCGGCUGGGUCUUCUGUCCCCUAAGCGUUGUGGAAACUAUUCGCUAAAGGGUGUUCGGGAGGCUACGCCGUAAAACAACCCCAUUUCUAAGGUUGACCUCGGAUCAGGUAGGGAUACCCGCUGAACUUAAGCAUAUCAAUAAGCGGAGGA
rnacentral:misc_RNA from 1 species